rnacentral:rRNA from 1 species
CGAACGCUGGCGGCAGGCCUAACACAUGCAAGUCGAACGAACUCUUCGGAGUUAGUGGCGGACGGGUGAGUAACACGUGGGAACGUGCCUUUAGGUUCGGAAUAACUCAGGGAAACUUGUGCUAAUACCGAAUGUGCCCUUCGGGGGAAAGAUUUAUCGCCUUUAGAGCGGCCCGCGUCUGAUUAGCUAGUUGGUGAGGUAAAGGCUCACCAAGGCGACGAUCAGUAGCUGGUCUGAGAGGAUGAUCAGCCACAUUGGGACUGAGACACGGCCCAAACUCCUACGGGAGGCAGCAGUGGGGAAUCUUGCGCAAUGGGCGAAAGCCUGACGCAGCCAUGCCGCGUGAAUGAUGAAGGUCUUAGGAUUGUAAAAUUCUUUCAGUAGGGACGAUAAUGACGGUA